rnacentral:lncRNA from 12 species
AAUACCUUUUAAUUACAGUCAUAUAAUUAUAAAUAGGAAAGAAAUUAAAAGAUGAAGAUGUGGUUUGUAAUGAAAUUACCAUAAAUACCAUGGCAAACUUUAAAGUCGUCAUGAAAAUUCAUAACACAAAAACAUGAAUGUGGAGGUUAACUUCUACCAAGACUAGAAUUAAAAUUUUGUGGAUUCGUGGUCUUCCUUGUUAGCUUGGUAUUUCCUGCUAAGUACACAUAGGCACCAUUAGUCAUGCAGUCACAAACAGACCUUUAAAAAGUCAGAGUCCUUAUUGGCAACUCUUAUGUUCCCUAAGCUACUUGGGCAAGCUGACAUAGAAAUGACUGGCUUCCAAAGAUAAAUGGUGGAACCAUCAAAAGAAAUCUCAUCCAACUGCUGGACAUUUUUAAAAAAUUAUUUUAAAAUAACUUUACUGCAUAUAUCUUAUAAAACAUCUCUUGAAUUUUUUUCUCUUUUUAAAUAUUUCAUUGGUAACUUUUCUUCAAUGUGAAUCUUAAUAUGACCAUUCUUCUGAGACCUUGAAUGGCUCAGGAUAUUUAUCUUGCCCCAUGUCUGAAUAACAGUAAGUGCUAUGAUUUUUUUUCAAUAUUUAAAAAAAGUUUUCUCAUUCUAACAUCUAUGUAUUUUAAUCUGUUUUUCAUCUUUUUUAUCUCUUUUCUUUUAGGCUGAGUUUUAGACAAUUUCUGCCGUUCUGUUUUCCAAUGUAUUAAUUCCUUCUGUGGCUAUGUCUUAUAUCCUGUUGAAACCAUUUAUUGUAUUUCUAAUUUCAGUUAGUGCAUUUUUCACCUCCAGAACUUCUACUUUAUUCUUUUAAAAAUCUAUUUGCUGUUUAAUCUCACUAUCCAGACUCUUCUAUUAAAUGAAAUAUAUCAAACAUACGUGUUUCAUAUUGUAAUUGUUAUGAUUCCAGUAUCCGAAAUCAUUGAGGAUCUGAUUCUGCUAUUUGUGGUUUCAUUUGGCUCUUACUAAUAGUUCCUUUUUUUGUGCUUUGUUUUGUUGGGUUUUUUCGCCUAAGAGCUGCCCAUUUUUCUAAACUGGAAUUCUCUGAGGCUCUUCCAAAGCGAAUUUGCAUUUGUUUCUGUCACAUACUUGAGGGCACGAAGAGUCUGGUCCCCUGUCAACUAAAUUCUUACUUUGAGGUUCUUUUGACCAUUCAGUUGGUAUAAAUUUAGGCUCAAUUAUACCCAAGUGCUGGUUUAUGGGGAUGACUUCUCAGGGAGAAUUUUUUUUCUUUUUUCCCUCUCUCUUUAGCACCAUUGUUAGGAGGUAUUUUCUCCUCAUUGCUUUUGAAAUGUGGCUUAUUGUUUAUAUUUUAUCCUUACACUGAGAGAACAGGCCUUUGAGUCCUCACUUUG